GUGGCUGACUGGUUACGGUGUUCGCUUUGUAAGCGAAUGGUUCUGGGUUCGAUGCCCAAC
rnacentral:tRNA from 1 species